AGCUACUUGCAUCAUUAUAAAUAUGAUGCAAGAUCGACUAUGUCGAAUAAAAUUCUAGGUAGAAUUAUGAUAAUGACAUUGUCUGCCUAUGUGUCUUGACCAAAUUACGUGCCAGCAGUCGCGGUAAUACGUAGAAGACUAGUGUUAUUCAUGUUUAAUCGGUUUAAAGGGUACCUAGACGGUAAAUCAAGCCUAAAAGGAAAGAAAUGAAGGGACUAAUUUACUAGAGUUACUUAUGAGGGGGUAUUAAAGUACUGCUGGUGUAGAGAUGAAAUUCUGUCAUACCUCUUUUCAAUAGAAAAAUAAUGGCACAGGUAUAGGCGAAAGCAUCCCCUUAUGUGAUAACUGACGUUGAGGGACGAAGGCUUUGUGUAGCGAACAGGAUUAGAUACCCCAGUAGUCAAAGCAGAAAAUGAUGAAUGUCAUAGAUUAGAUAUAUAAGUUUAUUCUAUAAACGAAAGUGUAAGCAUUCCACCUCAAGAGUAAUUUGGCAACAUUGGAACUGAAAUCAUUAGACCGUUUCUGAAACCAGUAGUGAAGUAUGUUGUUUAAUUUGAUGAUCCGCAAAAAACCUUACCACAAUUUGAAUAUUUAUAUUUUUUAUUGUUUUUCUUUUUAAUUUUCUUCCGAUUUUCUACUUAAAGCAAAACAACAAGAAAAAGAAAAAAAAAAUAGGCAAUAAGAUAUAUUUACAAGCGUUGCACGGCUGUCUUCAGUUAAUGUCGCGAGACUCUGGUUAGUUCCAUUAAAUUAACGUAAACCCUUACUUUAUUUUUAUAUAGAGUAGUUCCCCGCUAUAUUGGAUAUGAU
rnacentral:rRNA from 1 species